AUUUUCUUCUCGUAGAGAACCCAGCCUCCACGAAACUACCCGGUGCAUUCCUCCCUGCUUUCGGCCGCCACCAGAGGGCUCUUGGGCCUUUAGGUUAGCCCAAAUGGCCCCGCCUCUUCUCUUCCGAUUGGUCGUCCUCAGGUCCCGGCCCCGGAGUCAAAUUUUCCCUUCUGGGUGGUCAGCUGUGAGUUGUGGCCAGGCCAGAGGGGAUGAGGUCAUUCUGGAGAUGUAGUCCUCACAUCCGUCCCGAGCUAGUUUGUGAGUGUGUGUGUGUCUUUGGACGCCAAAGUUUAGUGUUGGUCUAAGACAGAGAAGAAAGAGCUGCCUGCGAUUGGGCCUCCCAGAGGCUCUGGUGGGAGCGAGACCUGGGGCCGGCGCCCCACUGUCGCGAGCCUCCAGAGGCCAAGAUUAAAGAUGGAAGAAAUCUGACAUGCAAUGUGAUCUCACCAUCUCCGCUGUGUCUGAGAGCCCCUGCAUAGACUGUUAGGAUGAAUAGAAUCCCCUCUCCAGUUUAACCUAGGAAAACUGUAUCGACAUAAAACCAUAUCAAAUGGAAAGGAGUGACAGGCACCUUUUAUUUUAACAGGUUAAACAAUGGAGGAGUUUGUUAUUCUACAAUUAUUUAUUUAUUUAUGGCUGUGUUGGAUCUUCGUUGCUGCACACGGGCUUUCUCUAGUUGCGGUGAGCGGGGGCUACUCUUCGUUGCGGUGCGCGGGCUUCUCAUUGCGGUGGCUUCUCUUGUUGUGGCGCACGGGCUCUAGAUGCGUGG